rnacentral:lncRNA from 1 species
GUAUAUAUAGGAAAUAUAUAGUGUCACUAAGUUACUCUCAUAUGGUACCUCAUUUGUACCUGUAGCUAUAAAUUGUGAAAUGGUGGAUUCAUUCAUAAUUUUGUGUUACUUAUUGGUUUGGAAAUAACGUUGAUAGAGCUAACAGCAUUAUGUCAUGAUGUACAGUUGAUGGGAUGGAUGAUCUGAUUGGACAAAAAGAGAAUUGUGAAUUGAACAAAUAGCAAAC